rnacentral:tRNA from 2 species
UCCCCGGUAGCUCAGUGGUAGAGCGAUCGGCUGUUAACCGAUUGGUCGUAGGUUCGAGUCCUACCCGGGGAGCCA